GACGAACGCUGGCGGCGUGCUUAACACAUGCAAGUCGAGCGAUGAAGCUCCUUCGGGAGUGGAUUAGCGGCGGACGGGUGAGUAACACGUGGGUAACCUGCCUCAUAGAGGGGAAUAGCCUUUCGAAAGGAAGAUUAAUACCGCAUAAGAUUGUAGUACCGCAUGGUACAGCAAUUAAAGGAGUAAUCCGCUAUGAGAUGGACCCGCGUCGCAUUAGCUAGUUGGUGAGGUAACGGCCCACCAAGGCGACGAUCAGUAGCCGGACUGAGAGGUUGAACGGCCACAUUGGGACUGAGACACGGCCCAG
rnacentral:rRNA from 1 species